UACAGAGGUCCCAAGCGUUGUUCGGAUUCAUUGGGCGUAAAGGGUGCGUAGGUGGCAGGGUAAGUUGGAUGUGAAAUCCCGGGGCUCAACCCCGGAACUGCAUUCAAUACUGCCCUGCUAGAGUACUGGAGAGGAGAUUGGAAUUCAUGGUGUAGCAGUGAAAUGCGUAGAGAUGCGGAGGAACACCGAUGGCGAAGGCAGCCCCCUGGGCCAACACUGACGCUCAGGCACGAAAGCGUGGGGAGCAAACAGG
rnacentral:rRNA from 1 species